ACGAACGCUGGCGGCGUGCUUAACACAUGCAAGUCGAACGGAAAGGCCCUGCUUUUGUGGGGUGCUCGAGUGGCGAACGGGUGAGUAACACGUGAGUAACCUGCCCUUGACUUUGGGAUAACUUCAGGAAACUGGGGCUAAUACCGGAUAGGAGCUCCUGCUGCAUGGUGGGGGUUGGAAAGUGUCGGCGGUUGGGGAUGGACUCGCGGCUUAUCAGCUUGUUGGUGGGGUAGUGGCUUACCAAGGCUUUGACGGGUAGCCGGCCUGAGAGGGUGACCGGCCACAUUGGGACUGAGAUACGGCCCAGACUCCUACGGGAGGCAGCAGUGGGGAAUAUUGCACAAUGGGCGGAAGCCUGAUGCAGCAACGCCGCGUGCGGGAUGACGGCCUUCGGGUUGUAAACCGCUUUCGCCUGUGACGAAGCGUGAGUGACGGUAAUGGGUAAAGAAGCACCGGCUAACUACGUG
rnacentral:rRNA from 1 species